ACUAGAUCAUUACUAAAGGGGCAGUUUUAUGUAUUUUCCAGGCACAUAGUGGCAUUUAAUAGCACAAUCUAGUAACUGUGUUUCCUUCAGUUGUUAUAAAACUGCUGUAUAUAUCAAAUAUGACUUAAA